rnacentral:rRNA from 1 species
AUUGAACGCUGGCGGCAGGCCUAACACAUGCAAGUCGAACGAGUGGCGGACGGGUGAGUAAUGUCUGGGAAACUGCCUGAUGGAGGGGGAUAACUACUGGAAACGGUAGCUAAUACCGCAUACCAUCGGAGGUGCCCAGCUGGGAUUAGCUAGUAGGUGGGGUAACGGCGCACCUAGGCGACGAUCCCUAGCUGGUCUGAGAGGAUGACCAGCCACACUGGAACUGAGACACGGUCCAGACUCCUACGGGAGGCAGCAGUGGGGAAUAUUGCACAAUGGGCGCAAGCCUGAUGCAGCCAUGCCGCGUGUAUGAAGAAGGCCUUCGGGUUGUAAAGUACUUUCAGCGGGGAGGCGUUACCCGCAGAAGAAGCACCGGCUAACUCCGUGCCAGCAGCCGCGGUAAUUC